GGAAUAUUGCACAAUGGGGGAAACCCUGAUGCAGCCACGGCGCGUGAAGGAAGACGUCUUUCGGAUUGUAAACUUUUUUUCUUAGUGAAGAAGAAAGUGACGGUAGCUAAGGACUAAGCAUCUGCUAACUACGUGCCAGCAGCCGCGGUAAUACGUAGGAUGCGAGCGUUAUCCGGAAUUACUGGGUGUAAAGGGAGCGCAGGCGGGACUGCAAGUUGGAUGUGAAAUGCCGCAGCUUAACUGCGGAGCUGCAUCCAAAACUGUAGUUCUUGAGUGGAGUAGAGGCAAGCGGAAUUCCGAGUGUAGCGGUGAAAUGCGUAGAUAUUCGGAGGAACACCAGUGGCGAAGGCGGCUUGCUGGGCUCUAACUGACGCUGAGGCUCGAAAGUGUGGGGAGCAAAC
rnacentral:rRNA from 1 species